AGCAGGUGAGCCCCCAGGUACCGACAGGUACCGACAGGUAUGGACAGGUGAGCAGGUGAGCCCCCAGGUACCGACAGGUACGGACAGGUGAGCAUGGACAGGUGUGCAGGUGAGCGCCCCCAGGUACGGACAGGUGAGCAUGGACAGGUGUGCAGGUGAGUGCCCCCAGGUACGGACAGGUGAGCAUGGACAGGUGUGCAGGUGAGCCCCCAGGUACCGACAGGUACGGACAGGUGAGCAUGGACAGGUGUGCAGGUGAGCACCGACAGGUACGGACAGGUGAGCAUGGACAGGUGUGCAGGUGAGCGCCCAGGUACCGACAGGUACGGACAGGUGAGCAGGGACAGGUGAGGACAGUUGAGCACCGACAGGUGAGGACAGGUGAGCAUGGACAGGUGUGCAGGUGAGCGCCCCCAGGUACGGACAGGUGAGCAGGGACAGGUGAGCAGGGACAGGUGUGCAGGUGAGUGCCCCCAGGUACGGACAGGUGAGCAGGGACAGGUGUGCAGGUGAGCCCCCAGGUACAGACAGGUGAGCAUGGACAGGUGUGCAGGUGAGCGCCCCCAGGUACCGACAGGUACGGACAGGUAUGGACAGGUGAGCACCCACAGGUGGGGACAGGAGUGCGCAGGU